UAAGGUAAAUUUUAUAUAGGAGCUGUAAACUCUUGUUUUUGUGUUACCUGGC
rnacentral:tRNA from 1 species